CGUCGUUCGGUCGAAGCGCGUUCAGCGCUAGUUUUGGGCAGACGGGGUCGGAGACCCUUUGCCCCCCGCGUGUUCCGCAUUCCAGAGGUCGGGCGAGCGAUCGUGGGCCGCGACAACAGCAAUAAAAAGACAUGCGAAUGCCGCGGAACGCGAUCGUCGCCUAACGGUUCACCCGGAGAAGCACCGUUUAGAACGGGCAGCGCACGGACGAACGGUACAUAGUUCGACGAACGAAUUCCAUCAUUGUAGGUAUGCAACACAGGAAACCGCACGCAACGGACGAGGCUAACGUCGCUCUCGCACCAACGAUGAAGAAGACCGC
rnacentral:misc_RNA from 1 species